rnacentral:tRNA from 1 species
GCAGGACUGGUGGAAUUGGCAGACACAGUAGCCUCAAAAGCUUCAGACGUAAGUCAUAAGGGUUCGAAUCCCUUGUCCUGUACUA